UAAAGCUCGACCUGAACGAUCAAAUGCUGAAGCAUAUAUUGUUAACGAGUCUUUAAAUUUUUGCUCGAUGUAUCUCAACAACAUUGAAACAAGAUUUAAUCGACCUGAGCGCAAUGACGAUGGUGGGACUACAUCGACUACAUCUACAAGCUUGUCAGUCUUCUCUCAAAAUACUAGGCUAUUAGGUCAUGCAGAACCAAAGUUACUUUCAAAACAAGAAAUUGAUAGAGCGCAUUGGUAUGUCCUAAAUAAUUGUGAUGAAAUUCGACAAUAUUUAGAGUAAGUUCUUAAUCAAAUGUUAAAUUGUUUGCUAUUAAUUACUAAUAUGUUAUAGUAUUUAAUUGCAUGUUCUUUUUGUAAUGAGCACAUGGAGUUAUUGCAACAACAAAAUCAUGACAAUUUGGAAAAAAAACUAGAAGAAUUGUUUCCUGGAUGGUUUACUUCACAUGUAAGUUAUAAUACAUAUCUUAUCUAUUUAUUAAUGCAACAUAACAUUCGUAUCAAAAGGUAUAUUUAUUAAUAUGUUUUUAUUACACAGAUAACGAGAUUAUAUAAUAAAAAAGAUUCGGUUGUAAGCAAAGAAUUGUAUGCAUUAGCAUGUAAACCAGAUUUUAGAAUAUUUUCUUAUUCUGGUUGUAUUGCUAAUGGGUAAGUUUCCUUGUUAAAGAUGUGGAUGAUUGCCGUACAACACAAAAUAGUGGAGUAAUGGUGUUGGGAGAUGAUAACAUCAACUUUUUUGGUAUACUGUGUGAUGUUAUUGAGUUGGUAUACGUUUUUGACUACCACGUCACUUUGUUCCAGUGUAAUUGGUAC
rnacentral:lncRNA from 1 species